UCUUAGGGAUAUGCAAAGAAAGUGGUUUCUUGAGAUGGAUUCUACUCCUGGUGAAGAUGCCAUGAA
rnacentral:pre_miRNA from 1 species